rnacentral:rRNA from 1 species
GAUGAACGCUAGCUACAGGCUUAACACAUGCAAGUCGAGGGGCAGCGGUAUCGAAAGCUUGCUUUCGGUAGCCGGCGACCGGCGCACGGGUGAGUAACGCGUAUCGAACCUGCCUCAUACUCGGGAAUAGCCUUGCGAAAGUAAGAUUAAUGCCCGGUGUUUUCAGAGUCCCGCAUGAGGCUUUGAACAAAGAUUUAUCGGUAUGAGAUGGCGAUGCGUCCCAUUAGCUUGUUGGCGGGGUAACGGCCCACCAAGGCAUCGAUGGGUAGGGGUUCUGAGAGGAAGGUCCCCCACAUUGGAACUGAGACACGGUCCAAACUCCUACGGGAGGCAGCAGUGAGGAAUAUUGGUCAAUGGGCGGAAGCCUGAACCAGCCAAGUAGCGUGCAGGAAGACGGCCCUCCGGGUUGUAAACUGCUUUUAGUUGGGAAUAAAACGGGGCGCGUGAGCCCCCUUGCAUGUACCAUCAGAAAAAGGACCGGCGAAUUCCGG